CGCGCGAACUUUACAUGCACGAAAGUGUGAUAAGGGAAUCCUAAGUGCUAACACAUAGUGUUGGCUUUUUUGAAGAGUAAAAAUCUUUAAGAAUAAGUGAUGGGUAAGACUGGUGCCAGCAUCCGCGGUAACACCAGCGUCACGAGUGGGAAUCAUUUUUAUUGGGCUUAAAGCGUCCGUAGCUGGUUUGAUAAGUCUUUUGUGAAAUCGUAAACUUUAAUCUUACGGCGUGCAAAAGAUACUGUUAAACUAGAGACCGGGAGGAGUUAGGAGUAUUCCAGGGGGAGCGGUAAAAUGCUAUAAUCCCCUGAGGACUACCUAUGGCGAAGGCACUAUACCAGAACGGAUUCGACGGUGAGGGACGAAAGCUAGGGGAGCGAUCCGGAUUAGAUACCCGAGUAGUCCUAGCUGUAAACGCUGCGAGCUAGGUGUUGCACAUUUUUCGUGAAUGUGCAGUAUCGAAGCGAAGGUGUUAAGCUCGCCGCCUGGGAAGUAUGGUCGCAAGGCUGAAACUUAAAGGAAUUGGCGGGGGAGCACAAGCCGAAUU
rnacentral:rRNA from 1 species